rnacentral:rRNA from 1 species
GAUUUAGUUUAACGGCCGCGGUAUCUUGACCGUGCAAAGGUAGCACAAUCAAUUGUCCUCUAAAUAAGGACUAGUAUGAACGGCAUCACGAGGGUUUGACUGUCUCCCUACUUUAAUCAAUAAAAUUGAUUUUCCCGUGAAGAAGCGGGAAUAUAAAUAUAAGACGAAAAGACCCCAUGGAGCUUUAAACUUAUCAUCACUUAUCAAAAAUUUUAAAACACACAUUGAUAAAUAUGAGAGAUAGUUUUCGGUUGGGGCGACCCUGGAGAAAAAUUAAUCCUCCAAGCUGUAAAAAUAAAAUAUGCUAGAGCAACAACUCAAACAAUCAAAACCUUGACAAAAUGACCCAGAAUAUAUCUGAUCAACGAACCAAGUUACCCUGGGGAUAACAGCGCAAUCCAUUUCAAGAGCCCCUAUCGACAAAUGGGUUUACGACCUCGAUGUUGGAUCGGGAUGUCCUAGCAACGCAGCCGCUGCUAAGGGUUCGUUUGUUCAACGAUUAAUAUCCCACGUGAUCUGA